rnacentral:rRNA from 1 species
CCUACGGGGUGCAGCAGUGGGGAAUAUUGCGCAAUGGGCGAAAGCCUGACGCAGCGACGCCGCGUGAGGGAUGAAGGUCUUCGGAUCGUAAACCUCUGUCAGCAGGGAAGAACGGUCACUGUGCUAAUCAGCAGUGAAUUGACGGUACCUGCAAAGGAAGCACCGGCUACCUCCGUGCCAGCAGCCGCGGUAAUACGGAGGGUGCGAGCGUUAAUCGGAAUUACUGGGCGUAAAGCGCUCGUAGGCGGUAUGUCAAGUCAAGGGGGAAAUCCCCGCGCUCAACGUGGGAACUGCCUUUGAAACUGGCAAACUGGAGUGUGUGAGAGGAUAGUGGAAUUCCAGGUGGAGGAGUGAAAUCCGUAGAUAUCUGGAGGAAAAUCAGUGGCGAAGGCGACUAUCUGGCACAUAACUGACGCUGAGGAGCGAAAGCGUGGGUAGCAAACAGGAUUAGAUACCCGAGUAGUC